CCUACGGGUGGCAGCAGUGGGGAAUAUUGCGCAAUGGGCGAAAGCCUGACGCAGCGACGCCGCGUGAGGGAUGAAGGUCUUCGGAUCGUAAACCUCUGUCAGCAGGGAAGAACGGUCACUGUGCUAAUCAGCAGUGAAUUGACGGUACCUGCAAAGGAAGCACCGGCUAACUCCGUGCCAGCAGCCGCGGUAAUACGGAGGGUGCGAGCGUUAAUCGGAAUUACUGGGCGUAAAGCGCUCGUAGGCGGUAUGUCAAGUCAAGGGUGAAAUCCCCGCGCUCAACGUGGGAACUGCCUUUGAAACGGGCAAACUGGGGGGUGUGAGAGGAUAGUGGAAUUCCAGGUGUAGGAGUGAAAUCCGUAGAUAUCUGGAGGAACAUCAGUGGCGAAGGCGACUAUCUGGCACAUAACUGACGCUGAGGAGCGAAAGCGUGGGUAGCAAACAGGAUUAGAUACCCGAGUAGC
rnacentral:rRNA from 1 species